GAUGAACGCUGGCGGCGUGCCUAAUACAUGCAAGCCGAGCGAACAGACGAGGAGCUUGCUCCUCUGACGUUAGCGGCGGACGGGUGAGUAACACGUGGAUAACCUACCUAUAAGACUGGGAUAACUUCGGGAAACCGGAGCUAAUACCGGAUAAUAUAUUGAACCGCAUGGUUCAAUAGUGAAAGACGGUUUUGCUGUCACUUAUAGAUGGAUCCGCGCCGCAUUAGCUAGUUGGUAAGGUAACGGCUUACCAAGGCAACGAUGCGUAGCCGACCUGAGAGGGUGAUCGGCCACACUGGAACUGAGACACGGUCCAGACCCCUACGGGAGGCAGCAGUAGGGAAUCUUCCGCAAUGGGCGAAAGCUUGACGGAGCAACGCCGCGUGAGUGAUGAAGGUCUUCGGAUCGUAAAACUCUGUUAUUAGGGAAGAACAAAUGUGUAAGUAACUAUGCACGUCUUGACGGUACCUAAUCAGAAAGCCACGGCUAACUACGUG
rnacentral:rRNA from 1 species